rnacentral:rRNA from 1 species
UACGUAGGUGGUUUAUUAAGUCAGAUGUGAAAGCCCUGGGCUUAACCUGGGAACUGCAUUUGAUACUGGUAAACUAGAGUAUGGUAGAGGGGGUAGAAUUCCUAGUGUAGCGGUGAAAUGCGUAGAUAUUAGGAGGAAUACCAGUGGCGAAGGCGGCCCCCUGGGCCUAUACUGACACUGAGGUACGAAAGCGUGGGUAGCGAACA